GACGAACGCUGGCGGCGUGCUUAACACAUGCAAGUCGAACGGAAAGGCCCUGCUUUUGCGGGGUGCUCGAGUGCCGAACGGGUGUGUAACACGCGUGUAUCAUCCACUUGUAUUUGGGAUAAAAUUAGGAAAAUGGGGCUAAUAUCGGAGAGGAUCUCCUGCACCAUGGUGGGGGUUGGUAAGUUUCGGCGGUUGUGGAUGGACUCGAGGGUUCUCGGCUUGUUGGUGGGGUAGUGGAUUACAAAGGUUGUGACGGAUAGCCGGCCUGGGAGGGGGGACGGCCACAAUAGUACUAAGAGACGGCCCAGAAGCCUACGGGAGGCAACAGUGGGGAGUAUUGCACAAUGGGCGGAAGCCUGAGACAGCGACGCCGCGAUCGUGAUGACGUCCUUCUGGUGAUGAACCACUUUCGCCUGAGACGAAGCGUGAGUGACGGUAAUGAGUAAAAAAGCACCAGCUAACUACGUG
rnacentral:rRNA from 1 species